CAAUAGCGUAUAUUUAAGUUGUUGCAGUUAAAAAGCUCGUAGUUGGAUUUCGGAUGGGAUUUGCCGGUCCGUCGUUACGAUGUGCACUGGCCAGUCCUAUCUUGUUGUCGGGGACUAGCUCCUUGGAUUCACUUCCUGGGACUAGGAGCUGACGAGGUUACUUUGAGUAAAUUAGAGUGUUCAAAGCAAGCCUACGCUCUGAAUACAUUAGCAUGGAAUAACACGAUAGGACUCUGGCUUAUCUUGUUGGUCUGUGAGACCAGAGUAAUGAUUAAGAGGGACAGUCGGGGACAUUCGUAUUUCAUUGUCAGAGGUGAAAUUCUUGGAUUUAUGAAAGACGAACUUCUGCGAAAGCAUUUGUCAAGGAUGUUUUCAUUAAC
rnacentral:rRNA from 1 species